CGGGUGUUGGUUGGGAGUAUCCGCAAGGACUCCGGGGCUUAUCUAUAGGCCCUAAGACAGCCAGCACCCGUU
rnacentral:ncRNA from 1 species